AGAUGCCGGAUACCUGCGACAGGACGGAAAGACCCCAUGGAGCUUUACUGUAGCUUGACAUUGGGUCUUGGUACUACAUGUACAGGAUAGGUGGGAGGCUUUGAAACCAGGACGCCAGGUUUGGCGGAGCCAUCCUUGGGAUACCACCCUUGUAGUACUGGGACUCUAACCAUAGGCCAUGAAUCUGGUCUUGGGACACUG
rnacentral:rRNA from 1 species